UGACCUUGUAUGUAUUUCAGAGAUGAAAGUAUAAUGGUCACUGAGUCAGGAUCAGUUCAUCAUCCUGGAGUAGUGGAUAGAAAGUUGGAACCUGGUGGAUUGAAUGGGGAACUCAUUAUCAAGGACUGGGGUUCCAUUCUGUGUUGACUCAUCCAGCUCUUUGUUCUCCAGUAUCUCCUACACCUCAAUAGAGGAAAUGGCGAGAAACCUUGGACCGAAUCCUACACAUCCUAAUGUUGCGAAGCAGAAGGAAUUGCACAAGGAUAGUUUCCUGUUCAUUAGUCAGGCCUUGAAGAUAGACGAGACCGAGACCACACUGGAGAACAAAUCCGCGGCAAUACCGCUCUACGAGAAGGGAAUUGAAGCUCUAAAGCUUGGAGUCAAUCUCUACAUCCCGACGAACUUUCAUGAUGAGUCCCUGGUUCGAGCUCAGAAACUGAAAGAGAAGAUGAGAGAAAACCUGGCAACUGCAGAGGAGAGAUUAAACUAUCUAAACACUAGUCUUCAUCUACACUCACUCAGUAUCAGAGCAAACGAGGACGAGGAGAGAAGAAACCGAACCCAUCCUGCUGCAGUUCCUAAACCUACCCGGAGCACUCCUGUUGUCUCUAAACCAACCAGUUUAAUUACUCCUAGGAUCAAAUCAUCUUCAACUGCUGGAUCUCGAGUUCCCAGGAACAACCGAGCUACGGAGCUGAGAAUGAAAUCUAUAAGUGCCAACGGUUCGAACGCUGUUAACAAGCCUCGAAGGACUAAAAGCAAUGAUGACGGUAGGAGCUGGAAGGAUGAAUUGAAGAGUAAGUGUACCGGGUUGAAGAGCCUGGAUCAGAAGUUGGUGGAGAUGAUCCUGGACGAGGUUGUGCCUAAAUCCUCAACCGGAGUAAAGUUUGCUGAUGUGUCGGGGCAAGAAAAGGCCAAAUCUGCGUUGCAUGAGAUGGUUGUUCUCCCGUCUCUUCGACCAGAGCUGUUUACAGGACUAAGAUCUCCGGCCAGAGGAUUGUUACUGUUUGGACCGCCUGGGAAUGGAAAAACAUUACUAGCUAGAGCCUUGGCUACAGAGGCGCAGUGUAACCUUGUAAAUAUCAGCUCCAGUAGUCUGACCAGUAAAUGGGUUGGAGAGGGAGAGAAGUUGGUUCGAACUCUGUUUAGUGUUGCUAGAGCUAUUCAACCUGUUAUCAUCUUCAUCGACGAGAUAGAUUCUCUUCUUUCUGAACGAAGGACUGGAGAACAUGAAGCCAUGAGAAGAAUUAAAACUGAAUUUCUUCUUCAGUUUGAAGGAAUGCUGACAGGUUGCGAGGAAAAAAUAGUUGUUGUAGCGGCAACAAAUCGUCCUCAAGAGCUGGACGAUGCAGCUCUCCGUAGGUUCACGAAGCGAGUUUACGUUCAAAUGCCGGAUAAAAACGCACGGAUUGCUCUUGUAUCAUCUCUGAUCUCCAAGCACGGAUCUCCACUGUCUAGAAAGGACCUGGAUAAAGUUGCUCUGCUGACUGAUGGGUACACCUGCAGUGAUAUAACGAACCUGGCUCGGGACGCAGCUAUGGCACCUCUUAGGGAGAUUUCAACGGCAGAGCUGGUUAAAAUUAAACCCGAGGAGAUGAGAUCUAUAAAUAUUAAGGAUUUCGAAAAGUCGUGUGAGAGGGUUCGAAAAAGUUUGAGUCCUGAAUGUCUCGCCUCGUUUGAGAAAUGGAACCUAGGGUUUGGAGAUAUUUCCUAGCUGGAUAGGACGGAGAGAUAAUUCCAGUGAAAUAUGCCUGGUCCGGUCUAAUGCCUUAAAUCUAACCAGUAAUAACAUUAAGUAGUUCUUACGCUUAUGCACAAUGGAAAAUCUAAUGUCAUUUGGCUCACUCGGUAAAAUAGUUACCAUUAAAAAAACAAAUGAUCAGUAACAAUGUCAUUUACGUGUCAUCCGUCCAUCCUGUAAAAUGUUUUUUUAUGUAGUUCCACAAUCCACAGAUUUAUACACAUAGAUUAUUUCAUAUAGGUGUGAUCUAGGUGUGAUCUGAUAUCAAAUGUAAUGAUUAAUAUAGUUUUUAACCUCGCUGUGAUUAAAUAAAUGUUAUUUAGAAUAUGUA
rnacentral:misc_RNA from 1 species